UACGGAGGGUGCAAGCGUUAUCCGGAUUUACUGGGUUUAAAGGGUGCGUAGGUGGGUAGGAAAGUCAGUGGUGAAAUCUUCGGGCUUAACCCGGAAACUGCCAUUGAUACUAUUUAUCUUGAAUACUUUGGAGGUAAGCGGAAUAUGUCAUGUAGCGGUGAAAUGCUUAGAUAUGACAUAGAACACCAAUUGCGAAGGCAGCUUACUACAGGGACAUUGACACUGAGGCACGAAAGCGUGGGGAUCAAACAGG
rnacentral:rRNA from 1 species